rnacentral:rRNA from 1 species
GACAGAGGGUGCAAACGUUGUUCGGAAUUACUGGGCGUAAAGGGCUCGUAGGUGGCCAACUAAGUCGGACGUGAAAUCCCUCAGCUUAACUGGGGAACUGCAUCCGAUACUGGAUGGCUUGAGUUUGGGAGAGGGAUGCGGAAUUCCAGGUGUAGCGGUGAAAUGCGUAGAUAUCUGGAGGAACACCGGUGGCGAAGGCGGCAUCCUGGACCAACACUGACACUGAGGAGCGAAAGCCAGGGGAGCAAACGGG